GCACCGGCUAACUACGUGCCAGCAGCCGCGGUAAUACGUAGGGUGCGAGCGUUGUCCGGAAUUACUGGGCGUAAAGAGCUCGUAGGUGGUUUGUCGCGUCGUCUGUGAAAUUCCGGGGCUUAACUCCGGGCGUGCAGGCGAUACGGGCAUAACUUGAGUACUGUAGGGGAGACUGGAAUUCCUGGUGUAGCGGUGAAAUGCGCAGAUAUCAGGAGGAACACCGGUGGCGAAGGCGGGUCUCUGGGCAGUAACUGACGCUGAGGAGCGAAAGCAUGGGUAGCGAACAGGAUUAGAUACCCUGGUAGUCCACGCAGUAAACGAUGAAUACUUGAUGUAGGAGGUAUCGACCCCUUCUGUGUCGAAGUUAACGUAUUAAGUAUUCCACCUGGGGAGUACGACCGCA
rnacentral:rRNA from 1 species